rnacentral:rRNA from 1 species
GAUGAACGCUGGCGGCGUGCCUAAUACAUGCAAGUCGAGCGAACAGACGAGGAGCUUGCUCCUUUGACGUUAGCGGCGGACGGGUGAGUAACACGUAGGUAACCUACCUAUAAGACUGGGAUAACUUCGGGAAACCGGAGCUAAUACCGGAUAAUAUUUCGAACCGCAUGGUUCGAUAGUGAAAGAUGGCUUUGCUAUCACUUAUAGAUGGACCUGCGCCGUAUUAGCUAGUUGGUAAGGUAACGGCUUACCAAGGCAACGAUACGUAGCCGACCUGAGAGGGUGAUCGGCCACACUGGAACUGAGACACGGUCCAGACGCCUACGGGAGGCAGCAGUAGGGAAUCUUCCGCAAUGGGCGAAAGCCUGACGGAGCAACGCCGCGUGAGUGAUGAAGGUCUUCGGAUCGUAAAACUCUGUUAUUAGGGAAGAACAAACGUGUAAGUAACUGUGCACGUCUUGACGGUACCUAAUCAGAAAGCCACGGCUAACUACGU